UGCAGCCACAUCACCCUGAACACACCCUAUCUCAUCCGAUUUCGAAGCUAAGUAGGGUCGGGCCUGGUUAGUACUUGGAUGGGAGAGAUAGAGCAAGAGAAAGAGAGAAGCAGAGGUAUGACAGCAC
rnacentral:rRNA from 1 species